CGCAUAGUGGUGUAGUGGUUAGUAUGUUUGCCUUGCAACUUUGGAGUUUGGGGUUCAAAUCCCACCUUUGCCC